rnacentral:pre_miRNA from 12 species
ACCAACUUAUCUGUAGAAUGAAAUGUAUGUAGUUUUCUAUCAUCUACACACAUUUCAUUCUACAGAUAUGUUGGUG